UACAUUGUAAGAUUCCCUUUUAUUGAUGGAUCAAUGAUUCCCAUUUAUUUCUAAUCACAUUCUUCAUAACGUAGUAUCCAUACGCAUUCCUGUUGAUGUUUUAUUUUGAAAAUUAUGCCAGUAACAAGGCAGAGCAAUAAUACAGCUUUUUGUGGACUCAGAAUUACAUUUGCAAAUUGAACUGUACGUUUCUUUCAUGUCAGUAAUUACCAAAAAUUUUUUUUUUUACCUUCCUGCCUGUAUCUGAGCACCCAGGACUGUGGACACUUCAACAAUAUUCUUGAAUAUAUUUUUAAGUUUUAGACACAAAGGUCAUAUUUUUUCCAAAUUAUACAUGCAGAUUAUCUUUAGAAAGCAUUAAAUACACAUGAUAAACUUAGAAAAGUCAAGUAGUAACUCUUUCCACAACCAUUAGGGGAUUUCUCCUUCUCUAUUUUCUGUCACCGCUUCAUAUAACUUCAAGAAAGUGUCUUGAAGCUCCACAGCUGCAACAGCUAAGAGUGACACCACACAAGCGGUUCCGGCCAGAGAUGCCUUCUUGCAAACCACAUGCUGAGAAGGAAUUGUGUGAAGGGAGGGCAGUUUCUAACCAUGCUGGUAAACAUCUUCUUCCUCACAUCCAGGAUCAGGCCUAGACAGUCAAAGAGUUCAGAAGGAAUAAGGCCAUGAUGAACUCACAGCACCCAUCACCACAGUCUAACCUGGGUGGCAUCACAGACAUCAGCAUGGAUGUGAUUUGCAGCAGUGGAAAACAUGAAAUCAGUGGAGCUAAACUCAAAAGAUCAGAAUGAGGUUCAUUAUCUCUGCAAAUUCAUGCACAGGGAAUUGCAUGCUGCACAGCCUCUCCUACUCUGAGUCACUCCAGCUCCUGCUCUAGGCUGUUCAGAAGCAAACUGUCAAUAAAACUCAUUAAUGAUGUGCUUUAUAUAGAAAUAGUGCAUUUAACUGAGAGGCAACAACAAAUGAAGAGUGCAGCGAGGGGCAAAUUACAUUGUUAAUGGAAUACAGGAUGUGUGUCAGUAAAGAAGUGGUAAAGGUGGGUGUGAGUCUUAAUGUUACAUAGAUCUGCUUGAAGUUUGGUAUAUAUAUGAACCUAAUUCCCCUUUUGAUUUUAGUACAGUUAGAUCUAGCACUCCUGUUUCUACUGAUAUAUAAAUUCUCUGAUGAAUAACUGAUAACCAACUUUCUUUUACGUAAACCAUUACUGGAGAGCCAGCAAAUAUUACAGACAUGUUAUUU
rnacentral:lncRNA from 1 species